UACGGGGGGGCAAGCGUUGUUCGGAAUUACUGGGCGUAAAGGGCUCGUAGGCGGCCAACUAAGUCAGACGUGAAAUCCCUCGGCUUAACCGGGGAACUGCAUCUGAUACUGGAUGGCUUGAGUUCGGGAGAGGGAUGCGGAAUUCCAGGUGUAGCGGUGAAAUGCGUAGAUAUCUGGAGGAACACCGGUGGCGAAGGCGGCAUCCUGGACCGACACUGACGCUGAGGAGCGAAAGCCAGGGAGCAAACGGG
rnacentral:rRNA from 1 species